ACCUGCAGAGGCCCCGCCGCGCAGGCACCCGGGGGUGGGUGAUCCGCCGCGCCCUCUCCUAAAGGGCCGGCGACUCCAGGGCGCUCUGGCCUCGGCUCGUCUGAGGGCUGCGGGCCUCCUGUCCCCCUCGCGGAUCUUGCAUGGGAAAAGAAUGUCACCCACAAACGCGCCACGGCCGCCCCUUGCCGACUAAAGACCUGAGUGUGGGCAGCAAAAGACGCGUGUGAGGACCGAACCCACCCGCUGCAGAGCAUAGGGCUGACGCGCAACCCACUGCGCUGACCUGGCUCGGCUCGCGGAGACCGCUCCUCACCCAGGAGCACCUUCAGGACCCCCUCCCUCGCAAGGAAAGCUCCAAAUGGCCCCCAAGACUGCUGCUCACAGAAGGCGAAAUUAAGUGGCAGGUGGAAGCAUUGCCAACUGUUAAAGCUCUACGAACUAGGUAAGCCAAAUAGAACCCUAAAUUGUGCCUGUCAGCUCUUUUAUCGAAAAACUAACAUCCACUCAUUUCUGCCCUUAUUACAGUGAAGGGGGAAAUCAUGCUAGGUGAUAAAUCCUGUGUCAUCUGUCAGUGAUCUUGUUACCUUGUUUACUAUGCUACAGGGCACGUGUGUUCUAGAGACUCUACAGCUACCUCUUGACAGUGGCUUCACCUUAAAUAACUCAUAACAAGAAACUGUUAUUAAUUGUCAUCAGAGAGGAGAGCCAGGGGUACGGAUGCUAUAGUAGCAGCUCUACAACUCCUUUCUGAUCAAGACUUACUUUAAUGCCCUGAAGUGCUGGAGGAGUUGCCCAGAAUCUAAAUGGAAGCUAAGAAUCCACUGGCAAACCCAGUGUUUCUGGUCUGAUGUGGGGUCUUGCUUAUCUAAUAGAAAAGACUAAUCCUGCCAGUUUCCCUGGGCCCAACCUCCACAAAGUCCUGGCUAUCCACCACCACCUCCAUAAGGAAAUCUCUAAGCAGAAAAGAGGGCAGUCUAUCCUAGUCCACAGAAUCCCAUAAAUGGGGAAGUGCAUCUUUUGACAAAAAAAAAAAAAA